UGCAGGGGCGCUAUCUCAGCUCACUGCAAGCUCCGACUCCCAGGUUCAUGCCAUUCUCCCGCCUCAGCCUCCAGAGUAGCUGGGACUACAGGCACCCGCCACUAUGUCUGGCUAAUUUUGUUUUUGUAUUUUUAGUAGAGAUGGGGUUUCACCAUCUUAGCCAGGAUGGUCUCGAUCUCCUGACCUCAUGAUCUGGGAUUACAGGCGUGCGCCACCAUGCCCAGCUAAUAUUUGUAUUUUUAGUAGAGACAGGGUUUCACCAUGUUGGGCAGAAUGGUCUCAAUUCUGGUCAGAAUGGUCAGAAUGGUCAUGACCUCGUGAUCGACCCGCCUCGGCCUCCCAAAGUGCUGGGAUUACAGGUGUAAGCCACCGCGCCCAGCCUUUUUUUUUUUUUUUUUUAAUUUUUUUUUUUUUUUUUUUUUGAAACAGGGUCUCACUCUGUCACCCAGGCUGGAGUGUGGUGGCAAAAUUUCAGCUCACUGCAACCUCCGUCUCCCAGGUUCAAGCCAUUCUCUUGCCUCAGCCUCCCUAGUAGCUGGGAUU
rnacentral:lncRNA from 1 species